rnacentral:tRNA from 1 species
AGGGAUAUAGUUAAUUAUAACAUUUGAAUUGCACUCAAAAAGUACUACUUUCCGAACAGUUGUCCUUG